rnacentral:tRNA from 1 species
GCUCCUAAAGCAUUGCUGGCGAUGCGCGUGACUUGUAAUCACGAUAACUUGGUUCGAUUCCGAGUGGGAGCU